rnacentral:rRNA from 1 species
UACGAAGGGUGCAAACGUUGCUCGGAAUUAUUGGGCGUAAAGCGCACGUAGGCGGCUUUGCAAGUCCCAUGUGAAAUCCCACGGCUCAACCGUGGAAGUGCAUGGGAAACUGCAGAGCUUGAGUACUUAAGAGGAUCGCGGAAUUCCCGGUGUAGAGGUGAAAUUCGUAGAUAUCAGGAGGAACACCAGCGGCGAAGGCGGCGCUCUGGGCCGGAACUGACGCUGAGGAGCGAAAGCGUGGGUAGCAAACAGG